AAAAAGGAGCUUUUCAGCUCCAUUUUCACUAUUUUCCAAAUACUUU
rfam:Peptostreptococcaceae bacterium oral taxon 113 str. W5053 genomic scaffold Scaffold5, whole genome shotgun sequence.